rnacentral:rRNA from 1 species
UACAGAGGUCUCAAGCGUUGUUCGGAUUCAUUGGGCGUAAAGGGUGCGUAGGCGGCGCGGUAAGUCGGGUGUGAAAUCUCGGAGCUUAACUCCGAAACUGCAUUCGAUACUGCCGUGCUUGAGGACUGGAGAGGAGACUGGAAUUUACGGUGUAGCGGUGAAAUGCGUAGAUAUCGUAAGGAAGACCAGUGGCGAAGGCGGCGCUCUGGAACAUUUCUGACGCUGAGGCUCGAAAGCGUGGGGAGCAAACAGG